rnacentral:lncRNA from 1 species
AUGUAUUUCUGGCUGGAGUAAAUUCCAGAGGUGAGGGCCCACACUUAUGCCUGGCCUCCAGUUCUCAUUAGCUCUUUUCUGCUGUUCAGUUACUGAAACCGUCCCUAUGGCUGUGAUCUCUGAGCUUCACCUUUGGGACACCAGGUCAAGCUUUCUGGAAGAACACGUGGGGAGUCAGAGAGGGAGAGGCCAUUGUUCAGGGCUAAACACCUGACGUUGAUCAAUCACUUUCGGAUUAAAUCCAGGUUGCCUCAUCGCAUGAUUCAGUUCUUCAAUCACAAGAGCACAUUGGCGGAGGACCUCGGGGCAUUGGAGAAAUCCUCCGUGAGCCCCCUUCUGACUGACCUACCUCCAUCUAUCUAUAAGAUUAUUUCCCAGGGACCAGCACUACAUGCAGGCAGCAUGUGGUCUACUUUUGCAAGGUGCUCAGCACUUCUAGCUCCCGCUGCUUUCAAUGUUCGGCAUCGGUACACCUCGGAACGGAGACUCCCGAGUGUGAUUAAUGGACUCGUCUCAGCAUUCAUGCUACAGAAGGUCGGUUUGCUAGGUAGUCGGUUAAUAGUUCUUUUCAAGUCUAAUAAACACACACUGCGUACAAUUUAAGCAUUAGUGAAAUGCGGCUCUUGCAUGUGGAGGCUGUGCCCCAAGAAGGUGGGGGGGAGGAAGACAACGAUCGGCUUUGUGCUUUCCCUUCCAAGCACUCCCACCCAUAUAUCCCAGUGGAUAUAGUGUAUUUAGAUUUUCAGAAAGCCUUUGACAAGGUCCCUCACCAAGGCUCUUAAGCAAAGUAAGCUGUCAUGGGAGAAGAGGGAAGGUUCUCUCAUGGAUCGGUAACUGGUUAAAAGACAGGAAACAAAGGGUAGGAAUAAAUGGUCAGUUCUUAGAAUGGAGAAAGGUAAA